AUGUUGAAACACCAGUUCUUGUAUGAUCACCAAUAUUAAGCAACAUCAAGUCUAGUUAGUACCUAGAUGGGGGAUCACUUGGGAAUACCAGGUGCUGUAAG